rnacentral:rRNA from 1 species
AUUGAACGCUGGCGGCAUGCUUUACACAUGCAAGUCGAACGGCAGCACGGGUGCUUGCACCUGGUGGCGAGUGGCGAACGGGUGAGUAAUGCAUCGGAACGUAUCCAAUAAUGGGGGAUAACGCAGCGAAAGCUGUGCUAAUACCGCAUACGCCCUGAGGGGGAAAGUGGGGGAUCUUCGGACCUCACGUUGAUGGAGCGGCCGAUGUCUGAUUAGCUAGUUGGUGAGGUAAAGGCUCACCAAGGCGACGAUCAGUAGCUGGUCUGAGAGGACGACCAGCCACACUGGAACUGAGACACGGUCCAGACUCCUACGGGAGGCAGCAGUGGGGAAUUUUGGACAAUGGGGGCAACCCUGAUCCAGCCAUGCCGCGUGAGUGAAGAAGGCCUUCGGGUUGUAAAGCUCUUUCGCGAGGGAAGAAAAGGCACUCAAUAACACUGGGUGUUCAUGACGGUACCUUGAUAAGAAGCACCGGCUAACUACGUGCCAGCCGCCGCAGUAA